GGGGGCUGGGAGUGGAGAGGAUCCUGGAUGUGGGAUUUGACUAGGGAAUGGUGAGAAACCAUCUGGAUUGGAGGGAGGCUUCUGGUCUGUAGAGUGAGGCAUGCAAGCUGCAACCUUGGAAGGCCCACCAGAUCUGGAUGUACAGGAUGGCAUAGAGGUAAUGAGGCCACACUUGAAGUUCCUCGAUGGGAGGGCACAGGAGUGAAAAGGAAAGGAGAGGUGACCUUACACAGCCAUUUAUAGUGAGCACCAUGGCAUUAAGCUUCUGAGAAUGCCAGGAUGGUUGCCCCAUCUUCACAACUAGGGAGCUUGGAGACAACUGGGUCCUCUGACAGCCAGGUUGGAUAUGAAGGAAGACAGGCUCUUUAAAGAAUAGAAUGUGGCCUCUAGGAGGCUGUUUAUUAGGAAGAGAAGAUUGUGGUUUAGGCCUCAUUCCAG
rnacentral:lncRNA from 1 species